ACACUGAAGUGAUUUCAGAGCCAGAGGGGAGUGCAGAAUAUCAUCAUGGUGAACAAAGAUGGCAUUCCCAUCAAGAGCACCAUGGUCAACCUCACCACCAUACAGUGCGCCAGCCUCAUGCACAGCUUCAUCCUGAAGGCACGGAGCACCGUGUAUGAAAAUGACCCCCAGAACGAUCUCACCUUCCUUCGAAUUUGCUCCAAGAAAAAUGAAAUUAUGGUUGCACCAGAUAAAGACUAUUUCCUGAUUGUGAUUCAGAAUCCAAACGAAUAAGUCACUCUCUUGGCUCCCUAUGUCAUUCCUUAAUGACCACUCCCCCGUGCAAGAAUAUUAAUGUCGAUCAUGUCAACAGACGCACGUGGCAGUUGCCUUAGAGCCCACUCGAACCAAUCCAGUGACCAUGUGUGGGCUGGCGGCUCUGCCUACCCCGC